UUUCUACUUCUACCUGUACUAUAGGCAUUUGGAUUUGAGACCCUUAACUCAGUGAUUUGCCUUAGCAAAUGACAAGAAGAAAUCUGGCUUUGCUGUCUACAUGCUUUUAAAAUAAUGAGUGGAAGCUGAUGAUGACUGACUUCUCUGUCUGGAUGCAAAGAGGCUGGGGAGCAUUGGAGAGCAAAUAGAAUAUUUAAUGAAGAUUACUAUCUCUGUCACAACAUGAGUGCAGAAGCAUCUUCAGUUGGAGAGCCAUUGCCUCUUGCUGUGAAAUAUUUGGGAAUCUUCAGAAACCAUGAAGAAUAACCUGCUAAAGCUGAGCUGGGACUCUGCCUGGAUAUAACUUAUGGCCUAUUCUAUAUGGAAAGUUGGUUUUCUCACAGUUCCACUCCCUUUCCAGAUAUCAGCAAAUGGCCCUCCUAGCCCAGAAGUCUCCAGAGAGGCCACCAAGUUCUAUUGAACAUCAUGAAUCCUAUGCUCAAGUGAGAUCAGCUCAAGUGAGACCAGAUAUCUGAAGACCUUUUCAUUUUCGCCACCCUCAAAUGAAGGCAUGCAAGUCCUGUUUGUCUCUGCCACUCCUCUAGCUGAUAUGUGCUCCAGAUUUGAAAAUUAAUUUAAGAAGCCAAAUUGUUUCCUGCUUUUCAAAGUUAUACAUAUCGUUACAUAUGUUUAUAUUUAUGUGUACACACAAAUGUAAAGCAAUGAUGCCUCUAUUAAAAUGAUGUU
rnacentral:lncRNA from 10 species